AACGCAUAUUGCACUCUCUGGUAUUCCGGAGAGUACGCCUGUUUCAGUAUCAAAAAUGUCAUCCAAAGUUUUGGUUUGUUUGUACCAAAUCUUAUGGGAUUUGGGUUUUGCAGACAUUUUUUCUGCUGGCCUUAAAUGGUUCGGCCACAAAAAUCCAAGCGACAAGGCGUGAUAGUUGGUACUUUUGGUUCCAUCCUUUCGCUGAAGCUUGUCUUUUUUGAAUCAAUGGCUCGACAAUAUGGAAAAACGAAAUAUCUAUAAUGUGUAUAUGUUUCACCAUUAUUUGGAUCUGAAAUCAGGUGGGACUACCCGCUGAACUUAA
rnacentral:misc_RNA from 1 species